UGGGAAGGCCCAGACAGCCAGGAUGUUGGCUUAGAAGCAGCCAUCAUUUAAAGAAAGCGUAAUAGCUCACUGGUCGAGUCGGCCUGCGCGGAAGAUGUAACGGGGCUAAACCAUGCACCGAAGCUGCGGCAGCGACGCUUAUGCGUUGUUGGGUAGGGGAGCGUUCUGUAAGCCUGCGAAGGUGUGCUGUGAGGCAUGCUGGAGGUAUCAGAAGUGCGAAUGCUGACAUAAGUAACGAUAAAGCGGGUGAAAAGCCCGCUCGCCGGAAGACCAAGGGUUCCUGUCCAACGUUAAUCGGGGCAGGGUGAGUCGACCCCUAAGGCGAGGCCGAAAGGCGUAGUCGAUGGGAAACAGGUUAAUAUUCCUGUACUUGGUGUUACUGCGAAGGGGGGACGGAGAAGGCUAUGUUGGCCGGGCGACGGUUGUCCCGGUUUAAGCGUGUAGGCUGGUUUUCCAGGCAAAUCCGGAAAAUCAAGGCUGAGGCGUGAUGACGAGGCACUACGGUGCUGAAGCAACAAAUGCCCUGCUUCCAGGAAAAGCCUCUAAGCAUCAGGUAACAUCAAAUCGUACCCCAAACCGACACAGGUGGUCAGGUAGAGAAUACCAAGGCGCUUGAGAGAACUCGGGUGAAGGAACUAGGCAAAAUGGUGCCGUAACUUCGGGAGAAGG
rnacentral:rRNA from 1 species